GAGCAUGGCGGAAAACCAGAGGCCAACCCAUUUGGUGCAAGAGCGGUGAGGCUGUAUUUACGAGAGGUUCGCGAUUUUCAAGCCAAAGCGAGGGGGGUCAGCUACGAGAAGAAGCGAAAGCGGUCAAAGCCCAAGCUAGCACCACCACCUGCGGGUGCAAGUCAGUGAACCAACAAAUGGAGCAGUUUGCAUUAAGGAUUCAACUACGUGAGUAAUAUUGAAAAGCUUCAUGGAAUAACCAGGAAAAGCAAAGCCAAUAGAUAUGGAAUCCUACCCGUAGAUUUACCUAUGUGGGUACAUUUCUAUAUCUUCCCUUUCCAGGUAUAGAGAUCAAUGGGUUGCUUGAGCCGUUGCUUUAAGUUAAAAAAUACCCUGUGUGUAUUAUUGGUUUGCUUUCUUAAAAACUUGGCUAUCAGUUGUUAUAUUGUGGGCGCC
rnacentral:lncRNA from 1 species